GGGCGCGUAGUGUAGUGGAUAUCACGUUCCUUUCGGGCAUUUCCAUCCCAGCGGAUCUAAAUCGGCUAGAAAGUAGGAGAGGUCGCGGGUUCGACUCCCGCCGGGCCCC